UUUGUGUUGAUAUUUUCGUUGUAAUUUUCGCUCAAAGUAUGUACAUUAGCGCCAUUAAUGUCCGCGAUCGUUAUGAAGUUAACAGGUGCUAACGAGCCUAUUGUGUCGCAGGAAUGCCGUUCGCUUCGACCCCUUGCAGUGUGCCUCAUUGUGUCCGCCCUGUCAGGUAUGUGUUAAUGUAUGAAAGAGAUCCCUGUGGUAUUUUCGGUGAUAAACAUUGUGUUUUCUUUUGGUUUUAACUUUGUAAACUAUACGAUCUAAGUGCCUUGGUUUCUCUAUUACACUGUAAACAGUAGCUUGUCUAGCUGCUGUAGUGUUCUCUCACUUCUGGAAGAUUGGCAAGGGGAAAGCCGUUUGCUUCGACCCCAAAGAAUCUGCUUGCAGUGUGCCUCAUUGUGUCCGCCCUGUCUUGUUUCAGAUUGGGAAGUAAAUAAAUGCUACUGGAUCGAGGCCCCUCAUCUCUCCUGCCUCUUCAAUCAUCCAAAGACUGUUUAGUCUGUUAUUUUAAUGUAAUGGUCGGUUCAUGUCCGUUGCAUUGACUUGACUUGUCAUUGGGUCUGAUUUUAAAUGUGCCAUAUAGUUCAAUGUGGGAGCAGGUUCACACACUAAAUAAGACACUCAAUUUAUUUAUUUUUCUCAGAGCAGAGUAGAGCAGAUGUUUCAGGUUGCUGCCAUCAGAGAGCAGUGACUUGACCUCAGUGUCUUAUUUAGUGUACUCCCACAUUGAACUCUACUUUUUGGGUCCACGCACCUACUUAUUUCUAAACAUCUAGAGUGCAACAAUACCCCUGCCUCCUAAUGUGCCAUAUAACCUGUAUCUCGCCUAUUGUGUGUGUGUGUGUGUUUGUGAAUGUGUUCACGCAGAUAUAAGAAGUUGGGGUUGGGGUUGAUGAUCCACAUGAUGGUGAUGGACCAGGACAGCUCUGGACCUCCUGACUGGCAGCUCCAUCCUCAACCUCCCUUCCUGUCCUUCACACAUGUGCAGGCAGAGAGGCAGUUUUCUGAAGGAUGGUUAAUGUCAGUACCAACAUGUUGUGAUGGAGGCUUCCACCUGAGCUGAACACAGAAACUUGCACACAGUGAUGGAAGCAGUCGUUCCUGUUCAGCAUUGAUAUGCCGGUAAUGGGUUUGAUGAACCACAGCAUGGUGAUGGGCAAUCAGCAUCAGGACCAGGGCCGCUCACAAGGAGAACCUCCUGCCUUGCCUCUUCAUCCUCAACCUCCAAUCUUCCUGCUCUUCACACAUG